GCAUACACGUAGACAGAGGGGAGGAAUCUUGUGGAAUAGAAGAGGAUAGAGACACAGAAGAGAGGAUUCAUUGGUGAAAUGAAGCCUCAUGCAUGUUAAUGGGGUUACUGAAGUCAGUAGCACCUUGGGAUCUACAUCUCCAUGCUGUGGAAGGAGGGGAAUGGCUGCCUCCUAGAUGGGAACCACUGGAUUAAGUUAAUAUCAGGCUGCUCCAGAAGCAACGAAGUGACUUUGAGUAAAAGUAUCUUUCUGUGCUCUCAA